rnacentral:rRNA from 1 species
CCUACGGGAGGCAGCAGUGAGGAAUAUUGGACAAUGGGCGGGAGCCUGAUCCAGCCAUGCCGCGUGCAGGAUGACGGCCCUAUGGGUUGUAAACUGCUUUUAUACGGGAAGAAACGCACCUACGUGUAGGUGUCUGACGGUACCGUAAGAAUAAGGACCGGCUAACUCCGUGCCAGCAGCCGCGGUAAUACGGAGGGUCCGAGCGUUAUCCGGAAUCAUUGGGUUUAAAGGGUCCGUAGGCGGGCCUGUAAGUCAGGGGUGAAAGUUUGUGGCUCAACCAUAAAAUUGCCUUUGAUACUGCAGGUCUUGAGUCAUGGUGGGGUUGCCGGAACAUGUGGUGUAGCGGUGAAAUGCAUAGAUAUCACAUAGAACACCGAUCGCGAAGGCAGGUGACCAACCAUGUACUGACGCUGAUGGACGAAAGCGUGGGUAGCGAACGG